CAGCCGCCGCGGUAAUACGAAGGGGGCUAGCGUUGUUCGGAAUCACUGGGCGUAAAGCGCACGUAGGCGGACUUUUAAGUCAGGGGUGAAAUCCCAAGGCUCAACCUUGGAACUGCCUUUGAUACUGGAAGUCUUGAGUUCGGGAGAGGUGAGUGGAACUGCGAGUGUAGAGGUGAAAUUCGUAGAUAUUCGCAAGAACACCAGUGGCGAAGGCGGCUCACUGGCCCGAUACUGACGCUGAGGUGCGAAAGCGUGGGGAGCAAACAGGAUUAGAUACCCGCGUAGUCCCUGUCUCUUAUAA
rnacentral:rRNA from 1 species